CAGUUAGAAUCCAGACUUCUACCUAGAAUCUCAGUCUGAACACUUUCAAGGCAUUGACAGUCGCAGAACUGAAAUGAAUGAAGGUUCUAGUCACGGAGCCGUGAGUUGCCAUAGUUUUUGAUGACUUAUUUUUAUUUUUGUUCUCUCCUUACCCCAAGGGGCUUGUCCUGUGCAUUUAACCUUGACACCUAUGAAGUCAUGCAUUUCCAGAGAACCUGGAGGACUGCAGGCACCAAAGAAUGAGGGUAGAGACCCCUAUCUCAAAGCACAAUGUAACAGCAAGA
rnacentral:lncRNA from 1 species